rnacentral:tRNA from 1 species
UCUCGAUUGGUCUAGUGGUCAGGAUACCUGCUUGUCAUUCUACAAGCCCGCAGGUGGCCGGGGUUCGAUUCCCCGAUCGAGAG